CAAUAUAUAAAAGCGUGUGGCUUAACCAUACAAGCGUAUAUUGAACUGAACAACUAGAGUAUAGAAGAGGUCACCGGAAUUUCUAGUGGAGGAGUGAAAUCCGUAGAUAUUAGAAGGAACACCGAAGGCGUAGGCAGGUGACUGGUCUAUUACUGACGCUGAGGUACGAAAGCGUGGGGAGCGAACGGGAUUAGAUACCCCGGUAGUCCACGCCGUAAACGAUGGAUGCUA
rnacentral:rRNA from 1 species